rnacentral:tRNA from 1 species
GACAGUGUGAGGAAGUGGUUUGAGCACUGGACUAUGAAUCUGGAGACAAAGGUUCGAAUCCCUGCUCUGCCA